rnacentral:rRNA from 1 species
UAUUGGGCGUAAAGAGCUCGUAGGCGGUUUGUUGCGUCGGCUGUGAAAACCUGAGGCUCAACCUCAGGCCUGCAGUCGAUACGAGCAGACUAGAGUGUUGCAGGGGAGACUGGAAUUCCUGGUGUAGCGGUGAAAUGCGCAGAUAUCAGGAGGAACACCGGUGGCGAAGGCGGGUCUCUGGGCAACAACUGACGCUGAGGAGCGAAAGCGUGGGGAGCGAACAGGAUUAGAUACCCUGGUAGUCCACGCCGUAAACGUUGGGCGCUAGGUGUGGGGCUCAUUCCACGAGUUCCGUGCCGCAGCUAACGCAUUAAGCGCCCCGCCUGGGGAGUACGGCCGCAAGGCUAAAACUCAAAGGAAUUGACGGGGGCCCGCACAAGCGGCGGAGCAUGUUGCUUAAUUCGAAUGCAAGGGGAAAAAACCUUUCUAAGGGUGACAAUGGUGCGGGGAAAUCCUCCAGAGAUGUUGGGUCCGUAAGGGCCGUGCACAGGUGGUGCAUGGUUGUAGUCAGCUCGUGUCGUGAGAUGUUGGUUUAAGUCCCGCAACGAGCGCAACCCUCGUUCUAUGUUGCCAGCACGUGAUGGUGGGGACUCAUAGGAGACUGCCGGGGUCAACUCGGAGGAAGAUGGGGAUGACGAUCAUCAUCUUCAUACGCCCUAUAUGUAUAGGGGCGCACACAGUGAUACAAUGGCCGGUACAAAGGGUUGCGAUACCGCGAGGUGGAGCGAAUCCCAAAAAGCCGGUCUCAGUUCGGAUUGGGGUCUGCAACUCGACCCCAUGAAGUUGGAGUCGCUGGUAA